UUAGAAGAGGUCGAACCUUUGGAGUUCAAUAAAGAACUUUACAGUGCAAAUAUGAACUUCUAACUAUCAAAAAGGUUCAAAGUUGAACUUACAGGUAAACUGGUUAUUUGGAAGUUCUUUUUAGAACCUUUGUUGUGGUAACAGGGUUCAUAUUAGAACCUGUGUGUAGUUAAGGUUCGUUUAUGAACCUUUUCUAAUAUGAUUGGAUUCUAUGGAGUGUACAGUCGAUACAGUGUUUCAUCUGUACCCCCCGACCUCCCCGCACAUUUCUAUAAAUUGCAUCAUAACAUUGAAAGACACCAUGUUUUUUGUCCAUUUUUAAAGCAUAAACUAAGAAGACCAAGAAUAAAAAUUCAGUUUUACAUUCAUAAAUGGACAAGAAGCUGUUCAAUGUUAAAUGGAGAGGUGACGUGAAAUUCUUAGCCCUAAAAAUAGACUGUGUUCAAUAUCUUCCGCUUAGACAACCGUAUAAAUAUUCCCCAGUUGAAAAGGACACUAUGCAGUUUUAGAGCAAAAAUCAUGAGUAAAGUGUGAUGCACAGGCAAUUUAUUUUACGUGUUUCAUCUCUCCUUCUGUUCCAACUUUAUCUACUUUGUUAUUAGCUCAUGUUUUAGAAAACAUUUCAUAAUUGUAUUGUGUAAGGUUUCAUCAGGAAGAUUAUUUUUUUCUUUAUUUAGUUUAUUAUUAUUAUCAUUACUACUACUACUACUACUACAACUAUUGCUUUUACUACAGCUGUUGUUAAUCAUUUAUGUGCUGAGAUUGCUUGUGCCUAAACGUUUUUACAAAAUAAGAAUACUGACAAAUAACUAGCAAUUCAAAAGUACAUUAUUUUCACUAAAAGUAAACGAGAUUAUUAAUAUUGUUUCGUUUUUAAGCAUGAAUAAGCAAAUCCUUCCUAAUGCUUUAAAUGUUUCCUAUAUCUGGGCUUUGGUACGCAACGCAAUGCACUGAAUCUCCACAAGUCUCUCUCGCGCAAUGAUGUCAGUGGUCACGUGGAAAAAAACCGUUACAAAUUUUGAAGCGGCAGCAGCGGGACCGAGUGGGACUGAGCGGAACGACACAAAAAUCUGAGAGGCAAGGAUGAGCUCAGAGCUGAUUCACUGGAAAAUCCAUGUGGCUGACUGGUUGAUGGCAACAGUUUCCAGAUGAUCAUCCCUACAUUUCAAGACAAUGGAAUUGAUGCGGACACUUGAAUGAACCUAACUGAAAACUAUGAUACCUAAAAUAUUCCCUAAAUUGAAGGAUCAAGUUAAAUUCAUAAGAUUAGAAGAAAACCUAAAGACUGAGAUGCCUACCAAGACCACAAACACCAUUCAUGUUUUUUUGUUUCUGUAGGACUUGAUUUGGUAUUUCACAUGGAUCAAUCUCAACACAACGUACUGUAUUGCUCAAACAGGGUGACCAGAAAUUUAUCAGCUACCCCACUAGCAAUACAAAAAAACUUAAGGAGAGUGGAGAUUUUUUUUCUUUAUAAAAUUUAUUUAUUAUUUUUUUUAUCACAAAGCAAAUGGAGUUAAAAAAUAAUCUGUUUGAUCAGAUGUGCACAUAUAUAUGUUAAUUCCCACAGUGAAGUACAGGUAAGUGCAUAAUUUUAAAGAAAGAUGGAGGGUAAAAUUGCCUUUCUUUAAUUUCAGGUAAAGCAAGCAAACAAUACAACAAGGUUAGUUUAGCCCUGGUUACCAAAAACCAGUCUUAAGUGACAAGACUGGAAGAGUGUAUGUAAGAACGUGUCAAAGAGCCCUGCAGUUUCAUAAAACCUUUUAUAGUAUUUUAAAUAAUAUUAUUUUUAAAGGAGUCAUGGUGUCACGGACAGAAGGAGACAACAGAGCUAAUACAGUUCACAAAGGUUUAUUAUUGCAGGUGGCAGAGAUGGGGAGAAUAAACAGGUUAGUAGAUUGAAUGAUGACAGGUUGAAUGAACUUAGCUGGAUGAUAACAGUCUCUUUGUAUUUGUAGAUGAUGGUGAGCGGAUUGGUCUGGACUGAAGACAAAGGACGAUGAAGGUGAGGGAUCUCAAUUGUGAGACGAACAGAUGGACAAUCUGUCUGACCAAGAUGUGUAUCAAAAGAGGUCAAGGGCAGUUGGGGUAAGUGUCCCAGACAGAAUCAACUUAAGUUUUUUAAGAAUAGCAGACAUAUUUUUGUGGGUAGAUUUAUUCAGGAGAAGAUGAUUACAGCAUUGGGAUCCACUUGGAUAAAAUGAAAACCAAAUGCUUGGAGAUCACCAAAUCCUUUUAGAGGACUAAAUGACACGGACAAAGAGUGAGAGGACAGACUAUAUGAAACAUCACUCCACAAAGGAUGAUAUUAUCAUGAUAUCCAGCCCUUAAUGUCCCCUCAGUUGAACCACGUACACCCAACCCUGUGCUGUAUAUACUGUAAAUGGAUGUGCCUUGUGUAACAGGUGCGCUUCUCCUUUAAGUGAUGCGAGGUCACAGUAUGACCUAAUUUCCUGUCCUGUCUCCUCCUCUUCCCUUUUGAACUGUGAUUCAAUGGAAGAGAGUGUUAUAUGGGCCACUCGAUCUGAGGCUGCUUAUUUGUCUCUGUUAAACAGUAAAAAGAUCCAGUGAAUCGACUGCUUGCUGUCCCGUGUCUGUUUCUGCAUCCACACAACGUAACACAACGCAGACCAAGUUUUAAUACCCAGUGUCGCUGGCCGCACAUCACGCUGGGCAUAAGCGAGCCACACGGGUUACACUUGGAUGCAGUCUGUUUUAGAAAUAAUGAUGCAAGGGGAGAAGGUCUAUGAAGUAGACGAUAUGACCAGGUCAUAUGACAAUGUACUUCAUCUUCAACCUUGAAUAUGGUUCAAGGCCGAGAAACACUCUAACAUUAUUUGAAAAAUAAAAAUGUCCUGUUUAAUGUCCUGUUUAAACAUUAUCUUAAAAAAUAUAUAUAAAUUAAAAAUUAAAUGAUUAAAAAUAAUAUAAAAAUGAUAGAUAUUCAGCUACAUUCUGUUAAAGGUUGAUGGAAAUGUAUAGAUUAAUGAAUGAAUUUUUUUAUUUGAUUGUUUAUUUAUUUAUUUAUUUGAAUGAUAAAAAACAAUAUUCCUUUUUUCUCUGUCCAUUGGUGCCUGU